rnacentral:rRNA from 1 species
UACGUAGGGAGCAAGCGUUGUCCGGAAUCAUUGGGCGUAAAGCGCGCGUAGGUGGCCCUGUAAGUCCGUUGUGAAAGUCAAAGGCUCAACCUUUGAAAGCCGAUGGAUACUGCCGGACUAGAGUUCGGAAGAGGCGAGUGGAAUUCCCGGUGUAGCGGUGAAAUGCGCAGAUAUCGGGAGGAACACCUAUGGCGAAGGCAGCUCGCUGGGACGUUACUGACGCUGAGACGCGAAAGCGUGGGGAGCGAACGGG